GAAAAGUUGGAAGUCCAGAGAUGGAUGCGAGGAAAUAGGGGAUGGAGUUUCCUUAUAACCUCUGGAGGGACAGUCCAGAUACAUACCGGGGUGUGUAGCGGGUGGAGGUUCUAAGACAGGCUGGAGGAACAGUGCAGACACACACCAGGGUGUGUAGGGGGUAGAGGUUCUAAGACAGUCUGGAGGGAGAGUGCAGACACACACCGGGGUGUGUAAGCAGUGGAGGUUCUAAGACAGGCUGGAGGAACAGUGGAGACACACACCAGGGCGUGUAGGGGGUAGAGGUUCUAAGACAGGCUGGAGGAACAGUGGAGACACACACCACGGCGUGUAGGGGGUAGAGGUUCUAAGACAGUCUGGUGGGAGAGUGCAGACACACCCGGGGCCGUGUAGGGGGUACAGGUUCUAAGACAGUCUGGUGGGAGAGUGCAGACACACACGGGGCUGUGUCGGGGAUAGAGGUUCUAAGACAGUCUGGUGGGAGAGUGCAGACACACACGGGGCUGUGUCGGGGAUAGAGGUUCUAAGACAGUCUGGUGGGAGAGUGCAGACACACACCAGGGCGUGUAGGGGGUGGAGGUUCUAAGACAGGCUGGAGGAACAGUGGAGACACACACUGGGGAGCGUAGGGGUGCUUUUCUCUGAGUCCCCUAGUACAUGGUAGAGGCUGUAGACCCUCCGCUCUUGGGCACGUGGGUAGGCUCUCAGGAUGACUCUUGGCUCUUGGGCAUGUGGGUGAGCUCUCAGGAUGAUGCCCAGCCCCAAAUUUCAGGCAAUUGUGCAAGGACUUGACCCAUUCAUCCGCUGAGCUGAGUUGCUGAGACUGCUGGGUGCCCGGGUGGUGAUCAUUGUCCGUGGCACACAGAACACACUGCAGCUUCUGCAAAGUGAGCUCAUUUCACGCAUUUUAUGGCUUUGCCAGGCUGCUGUUGACCUGCCAGAACUUUUAAUCAGACAUUUGGAGGACCUGUU
rnacentral:lncRNA from 1 species